UGCUGAGUUUGACAGAUGAAUGGAAGU
rnacentral:piRNA from 1 species